rnacentral:rRNA from 1 species
GGGACACGUGGUAUCCUGUCUGAAUAUGGGGGGACCAUCCUCCAAGGCUAAAUACUCCUGACUGACCGAUAGUGAACCAGUACCGUGAGGGAAAGGCGAAAAGAACCCCGGCGAGGGGAGUGAAAAAGAACCUGAAACCGUGUACGUACAAGCAGUGGGAGCACGCUUAGGCGUGUGACUGCGUACCUUUUGUAUAAUGGGUCAGCGACUUAUAUUCUGUAGCAAGGUUAACCGAAUAGGGGAGCCGAAGGGAAACCGAGUCUUAACUGGGCGUUAAGUUGCAGGGUAUAGACCCGAAACCCGGUGAUCUAGCCAUGGGCAGGUUGAAGGUUGGGUAACACUAACUGGAGGACCGAACCGACUAAUGUUGAAAAAUUAGCGGAUGACUUGUGGCUGGGGGUGAAAGGCCAAUCAAACCGGGAGAUAGCUGGUUCUCCCCGAAAGCUAUUUAGGUAGCGCCUCGUGAAUUCAUCUCCGGGGGUAGAGCACUGUUUCGGCAAGGGGGUCAUCCCGACUUACCAACCCGAUGCAAACUGCGAAUACCGGAGAAUGUUAUCACGGGAGACACACGGCGGGUGCUAACGUCCGUCGUGAAGAGGGAAACAACCCAGACCGCCAGCUAAGGUCCCAAAGUCAUGGUUAAGUGGGAAACGAUGUGGGAAGGCCCAGACAGCCAGGAUGUUGGCUUAGAAGCAGCCAUCAUUUAAAGAAAGCGUAAUAGCUCACUGGUCGAGUCGGCCUGCGCGGAAGAUGUAACGGGGCUAAACCAUGCACCGAAGCUGCGGCAGCGACGCUUAUGCGUUGUUGGGUAGGGGAGCGUUCUGUAAGCCUGUGAAGGUGUGCUGUGAGGCAUGCUGGAGGUAUCAGAAGUGCGAAUGCUGACAUAAGUAACGAUAAAGCGGGUGAAAAGCCCGCUCGCCGGAAGACCAAGGGUUCCUGUCCAACGUUAAUCGGGGCAGGGUGAGUCGACCCCUAAGGCGAGGCCGAAAGGCGUAGUCGAUGGGAAACAGGUUAAUAUUCCUGUACUUGGUGUUACUGCGAAGGGGGGACGGAGAAGGCUAUGUUGGCCGGGCGACGGUUGUCCCGGUUUAAGCGUGUAGGCUGGUUUUCCAGGCAAAUCCGGAAAAUCAAGGCUGAGGCGUGAUGACGAGGCACUACGGUGCUGAAGCAACAAAUGCCCUGCUUCCAGGAAAAGCCUCUAAGCAUCAGGUAACAUCAAAUCGUACCCCAAACCGACACAGGUGGUCAGGUAGAGAAUACCAAGGCGCUUGAGAGAACUCGGGUGAAGGAACUAGGCAAAAUGGUGCCGUAACUUCGGGAGAAGGCACGCUGAUACGUAGGUGAAGUCCCUCGCGGAUGGAGCUGAAAUCAGUCGAAGAUACCAGCUGGCUGCAACUGUUUAUUAAAAACACAGCACUGUGCAAACACGAAAGUGGACGUAUACGGUGUGACGCCUGCCCGGUGCCGGAAGGUUAAUUGAUGGGGUCAGCGCAAGCGAAGCUCUUGAUCGAAGCCCCGGUAAACGGCGGCCGUAACUAUAACGGUCCUAAGGUAGCGAAAUUCCUUGUCGGGUAAGUUCCGACCUGCACGAAUGGCGUAAUGAUGGCCAGGCUGUCUCCACCCGAGACUCAGUGAAAUUGAACUCGCUGUGAAGAUGCAGUGUACCCGCGGCAAGACGGAAAGACCCCGUGAACCUUUACUAUAGCUUGACACUGAACAUUGAGCCUUGAUGUGUAGGAUAGGUGGGAGGCUUUGAAGUGUGGACGCCAGUCUGCAUGGAGCCGACCUUGAAAUACCACCCUUUAAUGUUUGAUGUUCUAACGUUGAC